CGAUUUCCUCCUCACUUUCAAUUUCUUUUUCUUUUCAAUCUCAUCUCACUUUCUUCCCUCUAUUCUUUGAGCAGCCGCCACCGUCACCACCAUCGUCAUCCCUCGUGGCCAGCUCAUGACCAGUCGUCGUAGAAUAGUCCUUCGAACUAGAUUUUUUCUCUGAUCGUCGUUGUGCUCGCCACCAUCAUCAGGUAUUUGGAAGAGGUUUUUUUUUUUUAUCCUCCUACAGUAUAUAUGAACGGAGGCAAGUGGUAUUUUUCUUGCCAGUUGGAUUGUAACCAAAGAGCUUGAGACUUGAGAAUGCUUGCAAGUGAAUUAAUACAAAGUGCUGAAAGAAUGCAUAUGGUGGAUCCUCUCUUCCAACAAGUACUUGUGAAAGAAUGUCAAGAUAAAAAGAUUUCUGUCAUUUUUUAUGAGGUUUUUACUGGUUUUUGGCGCUUGGGUACUGAGACUGCUGCGGAGCUACUUCAUUGUUCGCCAUAUAUAGUCUGCUUCGCAAAGCUGAUGACUGGUGGAAUUAUUUCGUUAUCUGCUACAUUAGCUUCAAACUCUGUAUUUGAAUCCUUUAUUGGUGACUCUAAGCUUAAGGUCCUUCUGCAUGGACACUCGUAUACUGCUCAUGUUUUGGGUUGCACGGCUGCUACGAAGUCCAUUAAAUGGUUUAAAGAUCCUCAAACAAACCUGAAUAUCAUUUCUGAAGGGACAUCUCUUAGGGAGGUAUGUGCGAUCUAUUUAAAGUUAUUCUCAAGUGGCUAGUUACACAAGUUUUAAUGAAUUUCUUUGGAUUAUAAAGUUUGGCUCGAAGGGUUUGGAUAAUAUUAUACAUCAAGAAAGAAGUUAGAAAAGAAUGAUAAUUCUGAAGAGAGUUUGUGAUUUCAUAUUAUGUCAUUUUGAAUAAAUAGGCAUUCUCGUUAGUCAUGAUUAAUACUUGCAUUUAAAGUUAUGUUAUACUUAGAAGGUCUUGCUAAAAUAUCUUUCUGUUGGAUCCAUUUGUUUUUUCAAUGCUUACCGUUAUGGGAUGACAAUUUGGUUUAUGAGAUCUCGUCAGAUCCUGCAGUAAAGAGAGUAGUAGCAUUGGGAACUCUCUUUGCUCUAGAACUUCAAGUAGAUGGCUCUAAUGCCGGAUGUCUCCAAUGCACCUGUCUUUGUAAUCAAAGAAUUAAGAAGAUUUUGGACAGCGGAAAAAAGAUAGGAUUUGAACAUUGGGAUCUGGUAGUGAUACUGAAAUGUGCAUUUGAUAGAACUGUGUGGGAUUGAUCAAUACUUUGCAAUGAAGGCAAUGGAAGGGUGUCAUGCUCAACCACAACAAGAAUGAUUGAAGACAUAUCGGGUUGAAAGCGAAACGAUUGUGUAGAUAGCUAGGCUAUUGUUGAAGGUUGAAGACGGAGAAGAUGUUUAGAAUUUUUGUUAAAGUCUUGUAUUAGGAUUUUGUUUCAUGUACUGUUGUAGAAUGUAUAUAUAAAUAUAAUAUUCAGAUUUUAUUUUGUGUAUACAAAUGUAAAAAACAAAUAUUAUAGUUUCUAAAUUAAUUUAAUUUUAUUGA